UACGAAGGGGGCUAGCGUUGUUCGGAUUUACUGGGCGUAAAGCGCACGUAGGCGGUUUGUUAAGUCAGGGGUGAAAUCCUGGAGCUCAACUCCAGAACUGCGUUUGAUACUGGCAAUCUAGAGUCCGGAAGAGGUGAGUGGAACUCCUAGUGUAGAGGUGGAAUUCGUAGAUAUUAGGAAGAACACCAGUGGCGAAGGCGGCUCACUGGUCCGGUACUGACGCUGAGGUGCGAAAGCGUGGGGAGCAAACAGG
rnacentral:rRNA from 1 species